rnacentral:rRNA from 1 species
UACGUAGGCAGCGAGCGUUGUUCGGAUUUACUGGGCGUAAAGGGUGUGUAGGCGGUUGUUUAAGUUUGGUGUGAAAUCUCCCGGCUCAACUGGGAGGGUGCGCCGAAUACUGAAUGACUAGAGUGCGGGAGAGGAAAGUGGAAUUCCUGGUGUAGCGGUGAAAUGCGUAGAUAUCAGGAGGAACACCGGUGGUGUAGACGGCUUUCUGGACCGUAACUGACGCUGAGACACGAAAGCGUGGGUAGCAAACAGG